rnacentral:rRNA from 1 species
GCGGUGGAGCAUGUGGUUUAAUUCGAAGCAACGCGAAGAACCUUACCAGGUCUUGACAUCCCUGGCAACCCGAGAGAUCGGGCGUUCCCCUUCGGGGGACAGGGUGACAGGUGGUGCAUGGUUGUCGUCAGCUCGUGUCGUGAGAUGUUGGGUUAAGUCCCGCAACGAGCGCAACCCUCGACCUUAGUUGCCAGCAUUCAGUUUGGGCACUCUAAGGUGACUGCCGGCUAAAAGUCGGAGGAAGGUGGGGAUGACGUCAAAUCAUCAUGCCCCUUAUGACCUGGGCUACACACGUGCUACAAUGGGCGGUACAAAGGGUCGCGAACCCGCGAGGGGGGAGCCAAUCCCAAAAAGCCGCUCUCAGUUCGGAUUGCAGGCUGCAACUCGCCUGCAUGAAGCCGGAAUCGCUAGUAAUCGCGGAUCAGCAUGCCGCGGUGAAUACGUUCCCGGGCCUU